AUAAAACGAAAAGAAGGCCAGAAAUUGGUCCUGGUGUGCGAUCGUGAGAAGGCCAGGGGAAAGCUUUUCCUCUCAAAACCCUAACAUCUUAAUUUCUAUCAAAUUGAAAGUGAAAUCAGUGAGUAAUCGAAUGCAUGGGCCAGGAACUUCGAUUAUCUAGGUGUUCUUGACCUCAAACACGAAGAAAGAAGAAGGCGCAAGUCACUCGAAGUCACAAGCAUCUCAAGAUCGCGGUAAAUCCCAUGCUUGAUUGCGGCGCACUCGGACCGAACACACAAUGUCGACUUUUUAUACGCUUCCGGUUCAAGUUGUCUAUUAUGUAUGGGUCAAAAAAUUUUCAUUUUGUGAUACGAUGUAAAUCUUGUGUCUAGUAUGUUAGUAAGUAGUUUAGAUUUCUAAACCUUUUGUGUGGUUUGUACAAAAUGUUUAUGGUGAACCUUUUAUGGUCACAAUUUUUGUUAAUUGAAAAAUGUCGUAGGAUUUGAAAAUGUUGUUGUUAAAAGCAGGGGAAAAGUUCUCUAUAUAAACGGGUCAUGCUAAAAUUUUUCGUAAA